rnacentral:lncRNA from 1 species
CCAGGGGAGAAGAUCACAGUCAUUGAUGACUCCAAUGAGGAGUGGUGGCGGGGGAAAAUCGGAGAGAAGGUGGGAUUCUUCCCUCCAAACUUCAUCAUUCGGGUCCGGGCUGGAGAACGUGUGCACCGUGUAACCAGAUCCUUUGUGGGAAACCGCGAGAUUGGGCAGAUCACUCUCAAGAAGGACCAGAUCGUAGUGCAGAAAGGAGAUGAAGCUGGUGGCUACGUCAAGGUCUACACCGGCCGCAAGGGCUUCGGAUACCUGGUGCGCUGAGCAUCCUGCACCGAUAAGGCCCACACUUCAGGUCCAUCCAAACCUCAAGAGCUUUGGGGUGAGGGUGGGGAAGCAUCUCCAUAAGGAGGGGCAGAGCUGUCAAAUGUUUGGAAUUUAUUAAAGUUUUGACAAAAGUU